rnacentral:rRNA from 2 species
UUUAUGGAGAGUUUGAUCCUGGCUCAGGACGAACGCUGGCGGCGUGCUUAACACAUGCAAGUCGAACGGUUCAGUCGUCGGUCUUCAGACGUCGGACGUCGGGAUAGUAAGGAAUUCGCMUUAGCGAAKUCSAGAYUKARAUCCCUGACGAMKGCMGCYUGACGAYCKACGAMCKAAUAGUGGCGCACGGGUGAGUAACGCGUGGAUAACCUGCCUGGUAGACCGGGAUAACAGCUGGAAACGGCUGCUAAUACCGGAUACGCUUAAGGGAACGCAUGUUCUUUUAAGGAAAGCAAUCGUGCUAUCAGAUGGAUCCGCGUCCCAUUAGCUAGUUGGUGGUGUAAGGGACCACCAAGGCGACGAUGGGUAGCCGGCCUGAGAGGGCGACCGGCCACACUGGGACUGAGACACGGCCCAGACUCCUACGGGAGGCAGCAGUGGGGAAUCUUCCGCAAUGGGCGAAAGCCUGACGGAGCAACGCCGCGUGAGGGAAGAAGGCCUUCGGGUUGUAAACCUCUGUCAUCAAGGAAGAACAGAUGACGGUACUUGGAGAGGAAGCCCCGGCUAACUACGUGCCAGCAGCCGCGGUAAAACGUAGGGGGCGAGCGUUGUCCGGAAUUACUGGGCGUAAAGGGCGCGUAGGUGUCCAUUAAGUUAGAGGUGAAAGAUCGGGCUCAACCCCGAGAUUGCCUCUGAUACUGGUGGACUUGAGUGCAGGAGA